GGCCUAACACAUGCAAGUCGAGCGGUAACAGGAAGAAAGCUUGCUUUCUUUGCUGACGAGCGGCGGACGGGUGAGUAAUGCCUAGGGAACUGCCCAGUCGAGGGGGAUAACAGUUGGAAACGACUGCUAAUACCGCAUACGCCCUACGGGGGAAAAGAGGGGACCUUCGGGCCUUCUGCGAUUGGAUGUACCUAGGUGGGAUUAGCUAGUAGGUGAGGUAAUGGCUCACCUAGGCGACGAUCCCUAGCUGUUCUGAGAGGAUGAUCAGCCACACUGGGACUGAGACACGGCCCAGACUCCUACGGGAGGCAGCAGUGGGGAAUAUUGCACAAUGGGCGCAAGCCUGAUGCAGCCAUGCCGCGUGUGUGAAGAAGGCCUUCGGGUUGUAAAGCACUUUCAGCGAGGAGGAAAGGUUAAGUGUUAAUAGCACUUAGCUGUGACGUUACUCGCAGAAGAAGCACCGGCUAACUUCGUGCCAGCAGCCGCGGUAAUACGAGGGGUGCAAGCGUUAAUCGGAAUUACUGGGCGUAAAGCGUACGCAGGCGGUUUGUUAAGCGAGAUGUGAAAGCCCCCGGCUCAACCUGGGAACUGCAUUUCGAACUGGCAAACUAGAGUCUUGUAGAGGGGGUAGAAUUUCAGUGUAGCGGUGAAUGCGUAGAGAUCU
rnacentral:rRNA from 1 species